UGGCUCGGUGAGGCCUUCGGACUGGCCCAGGGAGGUCGGCAACGACCACCCAGGGCCGGAAAGUUCGUCAAACCUGGUCAUUUAGAGGAAGUAAAAGUCGUAACAAGGUCUCCGUAGGUGAACCUGCGGAGGGAUCAUUA
rnacentral:rRNA from 1 species